GCGCGACGGCGCCGGCCCAGCCCGGCUUUCUAGUUCGAGUCUCGGCCCUGCGGGCAGCUGCUUGCCCUCGGCCCACCCUGCGACUCCGGGCCGAGCUCUUGGCCCGUUUCCCCCGAGAAGGCCUCUUGCCGGGCACCGAGAGGACCUCGCCAGGGGCGGCCCCGUUACGCGGCUGAAGUUGAGACGCAGGCGGGGUGGGGAGGCGGUUCACGGGCGGCCGGAGAGAGCCUGAGCGGGACUCUUAGGACGUGGGCGCGCAGCAGCCUCUGGCGGAGCCUGGAGUCGGCAGCCAGCAGGGCGGGCAGCAGGGUAACUGCACUGACAGCCAUGGAGGGUGGGGGACCCUCCCUGACACCCAUCCCAGCAAAGAAACACUGCCCUAGGGAGCCUGAAUGAAUCUGGGGCGGCCACCUUUUCCCGGGAUUCGAGGAUAGAUUGGUGAUGCGGACACGUGCGGAAAUGAAUGAGGCCACGGAACUUUAACAUGACUUAAACAAUUUAAGUUUUAGCAACUGCUUCCACCCUCCAUCCCGCUUUUCCUCCUUCCCAGCCCCCACCCAUGUGGGGGGACUGGAGGCAGGGAAGCAACACGGUGCCCCUCAAGCUUUUUUCACCCUUUCCAGAAACUGGAAGGGUGGGGAAGGUCUGUGGUGGGUGGACUCUCCCUUCAGGCCUUCAGGCAUGGCUGUCCACUUUUUUUUUUGCCGGUCUUCACAGCUCUUCCUGCAGACUCUUUUUUCCUGAGGAUCCUAUUAAGAUUGUCCGGGGCCAAGGGCAGUACUUGUAUGAUGAACAGGGAGCAGAAUACAUCGAUUGUAUCAACAAUGUGGCUCACGUUGGGCACUGCCACCCUCUCGUGGUCCAAGCAGCACAUGAACAGAACCAGGUGCUCAACACCAACAGCCGGUACCUGCACGACAACAUUGUGGAUUUCGCACAGAGGCUGUCGGAGACCCUGCCAGAGAAGCUCUGUGUGUUUUAUUUCCUGAAUUCUGGGUCGGAGGCCAAUGACCUAGCCCUGAGGCUGGCCCGCCAGUACACAGGACACUGGGACGUGGUGGUAUUAGACCAUGCUUAUCACGGUCACCUGAGCUCUCUGAUCGACAUCAGCCCCUACAAGUUCCGGCACCUCGAUGGCCAGAAGGAGUGGGUCCAUGUGGCACCCCUCCCAGACACAUACCGGGGCCUCUACCGGGAGGACCACCCCAACCCGGCGGAGGCCUAUGCCCAUGAGGUGAAACGUGUGGUCAGCAGCGCACAGGAGCAGGGCAGGCAGAUUGCCGCAUUCUUCGCUGAGUCUCUGCCCAGUGUGGGAGGGCAGAUCAUUCCCCCUGCUGGCUACUUCCCGGAAGUGGCAGAGCACAUCCGCAAGGCUGGAGGGGUCUUUGUUGCAGACGAGAUUCAAGUGGGCUUUGGCCGAGUCGGCAAGCACUUCUGGGCCUUCCAGCUGCAGGGGGAAGACUUUGUCCCUGACAUUGUCACCAUGGGCAAGUCCAUUGGCAAUGGCCACCCUGUAGCCUGUGUGGCCACAACCCAAGCUGUGGCAAGAGCAUUUGAAGCCACCGGUGUCGAGUACUUCAAUACGUUUGGGGGCAGCCCAGUGUCAUGUGCAGUGGGGCUGGCCGUCCUGGAUGUCUUAGAGAAGGAACAGCUGCAGGCUCACGCUACCUGUGUAGGCAGCUUCCUGAUGGAGCUCCUCGAGCAGCAGAAAGCCAAGCAUCCUAUCAUCGGGGACAUCAGGGGCGUCGGGCUUUUUAUUGGUGUGGAUUUGAUCAAAGAUGAGGCCACAAGGACGCCAGCCACUGAAGAAGCUGAUUAUUUGAUAUCCAGGUACUUUUUCUUCUAACAAGUUGCCUUUGCAGAGCUUCUCCAGGGCCACAGCAGGGACGGGGGAUGAACAGGACUCCUGGCUCAUCUGGGCUGAAGGAGAACUACAUUUUGCUAAGCACCGAUGGCCCUGGGAGGAACGUCCUGAAAUUUAAGCCCCCAAUGUGCUUCAGCUUAGACAACGUAAAACAUGUGGUGGCAAAGCUGGAUGCCAUCCUAACAG